AAUGGCAUUUCUGCUGUAUUGUUGCCAUGAGUGAAUGCAAGUGUCACACAGCAGGACAAAACAAGGGAAAAGUAAAAGUUUAGGAGGUUUUACCUGAAUAAGGGAGUCAGCUGGCAUAUGUUCCCGUUUUGUAAGUUAGCAAGGUAAUAUUUCAACAAAGACAUGGACCCAUCUGCCCAGAUGGUGAGCCUGGAUAACCAGGGGAACAUGGUUUUCACAGUUGUAAAGCCAGUUAUGGGCAUAUUUCAGGUGUCUUCAGAGCAAACUGGCAGUGCUCCACAAGGAAGCAUGGGUCUACAGAGUUUAGCUGAAAGCACAUUAGUCCUCCCUCAGGCGCAAGGUCAGCCUCCACUAGACCAGAACCAGAUGGAAAUGAACACCAUACAGCCUCAUAUUCAGCCUCCGAUGCAGGUUUCUGCCCCAGUCCAGACUGAGGAUUUACCUGUGAAUCAGGAUCUCCCACAAAGCUCAAGCGAAAAUACAGAGUCCACUAGCCAGAUCGCAUUUGCUGAGGUUUCAUCACUCCUGGAUCCCAACAUGAAAGGAUCAAAAGCUCGGAAAUAUCUCAUCUCAUAUGAUGAAAUUAAAAGGCGUCUGCAGGCUCCAGAAAAGAUGUCCCUGCGGUCUUUGGCAGCGUACACUCGGGUCAGCAGAGGACCAGCCAGCAAGAAAACACUCCUGGAGUCGCUUAAUGUACUCGGCCUCACGCCAAGCACAACUACCUCUGUAUCCUCGUCCUUCUCCAAACUCACUGAAGGCGACACCAGAGCUCUGUGUGACGAUAUGAAGGAUUUUGCCCAUGACUACAUUGACUAUGGCAACAUGGCAAAGCAGCUUAUCCCAGAGACAAAUACAGUUCAACACUGGUCCAAAAUUAUUGAAACAAAGAACCAUCUUGAGGAUAUGAGAAAGUGUUUUAGGGACCCGGUCAACAGUGGUGCCUUCGACAACGUCACUCAUGGCCUCGGUCUUGGAAUGCUUGAUGUUGCACUGGACAUGAUUGUUAUGGUAAUUGAACAGCAGAUUCGCAUCCUGUCUGGUGUCGCAGCAUCUGACCCGGCCGACUCAGGUCCACAAAUGCGCCGUGUCCGCAGGCGCCACCGCAAAACUCGCUUGAUGGACAAUGAGAAGCUUCAUAAGGUGUCUGGAGGGGAAAAAGAACAAGGAAAGCUCAUUUCAAAAGCCAAAGGUCGAAUCAGAGCCAAGAAGAAGAUCAGACAGGAAACUGUAGCUUCUGGACCUGUGGAGACCCAGGCAGAGCCAUGUAAGCCAGAUGGUGUGGAGAGUAAUGUCCUCACCCUGGUCUCUGUAGGUUACGAGACUGUUUCCAGCGGCCUCGGUUCAGUUGGACCUGUUUGA
ensembl:lncRNA